GAGCAGAUGAUGAAACAAACAUAUCAUGUCACUGAUACUACUCUCCAUGAUGUUUCAAAUUCGAGCUUUUUAAAACUGAUGCUCU